GACGAACGCUGGCGGCGUGCUUAACACAUGCAAGUCGAACGAAGUGGCGAACGGGUGAGUAACGCGUAAUCAACCUGCCCUUCAGAGGGGGACAACAGUUGGAAACGACUGCUAAUACCGCAUACUGAAGGGGGGGAUUGCGUCUGAUUAGCUAGUUGGAGGGGUAACGGCCCACUAAGGCGAUGAUCAGUAGCCGGUCGUGGAGGAUGAACGGCCACAUUGGGACUGGAGCACGGCCCAAGCUCCUACGGGAGGCAGGAGUUGGGAAUCUUCGGGAAUGGACGAAAGUCUGACGGAGCAACGCCGCGGGAGUGGUGACGGCCUUCGGGGUGUAAAGCUCUGUUAAUCGGGACGCGGUACCGGAAGAGAAAGCCACGGCUAACUACGUGCCAGCAGCCGCGGUAAUAC
rnacentral:rRNA from 1 species